ensembl:snoRNA small nucleolar RNA SNORA16B/SNORA16A family
CGUGGCCCUUAUCGAAGCCGAUUCAGUCCUCUUUUCCGACUGAUUCGGUCAAUAAAGGUGCCUAAAGCAACACUUUUACCGACGGUCGCUGAGUAUUUAUUGUAACUACUCCGCAACAAUUUGGGAAAGAACAUUU